rnacentral:sRNA from 1 species
GCUAGGCACAGUGGGUGUACCUGUAGUUCCCACCUACUCAGAGGCUGAGGAGGGAGGAUUAUUUGAGCCCUGUAGUUUCAGACCCAUCUGGGCAACAUAGUGAGACCCCAUCUCAA